UACGGGGGGGGCAAGCGUUGUUCGGAAUUACUGGGCGUAAAGGGCCAGUAGGCGGCCAACUAAGUCGGAUGUGAAAUCCCUAGGCUCAACCUAGGAACUGCGUCUGAUACUGGAUGGCUUGAAUCCGGGAGAGGGAUGCAGAAUUCCAGGUGUAGCGGUGAAAUGCGUAGAUAUCUGGAGGAAUACCGGUGGCGAAGGCGGCAUCCUGGACCGGCAUUGACGCUGAGGAGCGAAAGCCAGGGGAGCAAACGGG
rnacentral:rRNA from 1 species